rnacentral:lncRNA from 1 species
GACGGCCUGAGGUAAUCUGUGUGGUGUGAUGCUGUUGAUCACAACUCUCUGACCACAGCUAUGUGAAAACAACUAGUUCUCCCAGCACAAAGAAGUCCAGUUCACCGCAGAAGUGACAGUUCUGUGAAGGUGUGGACAAGAAAAAUAAACCAUCAGCAAUCAAGAUGGCUUCCCCUCUUCCUAAGGAAACUACAUAUAUACACAGUGGAAUUUUCUUCAGCAGUAAAGAAGGAAGUGAGGACAUCUGAUGAAAAAUGGAUGGAAGUGGAGAACACAGUAUGUUAAGAGAAAUGAACUAGACAAGAAAGACAAAAGAAAUCUGAAUUGCAGCUGGAUGUGGUGGUGUGGACCUAUGAUCCCAGAACUAUGGAAGCUGAGGCAGAAGAAUCUCAAACGUCCAAGUUCAAGUUCUAAGCCAUCCAGAGCUACAGAGCAACAGCCUACAAGUAUGUAACAUUUCAAAACUGAUGGUACAGCCACCACUUGCAAAUAUACCCUCAAGUUUAUAGCUAUCAUUUUUCACUGAAAUUUUCUAUUCUUAUUCUGGGAAACUGAAAGAAUCCCUAAGAAACAAACUGUGUGAAGUAAAGCCAGGAAAGAACGCCAGG